UUUUAAAUCACAGCAUUAUCAUUCAGUAUCAUUCGUUGUACAGGCAUGAAUGUUCUUUCUCCCUUUCUUCCAGGUCCUGAUGGGUCCCUGAGAGCCUCUCUGGCAAUAUACCACGAUGCAGUCACAGGCCUCAUAAGGCCUAACGCUCACAGCCACAUGCUGCUAAACAGUGGCCACACCAUGGCAGUGCCACCCAACUUCUUUCUUCACCCACAAACUGGCAGAGUAAUGCCAAUCAUUGGAAACGUCGCCUAUGAUCCAGCCAGCUCUACAUUAGUGGCUACAACUGAUCUCUGCAGAGGCGACAACAGAAAGUGGGAGAGUCCUCUUCUACCUUUUAUUCCUUACCCAACAUCCUGCCAUUCAGAUCGGCCCCUUCCCAGCACUCCGAUUAAACCCCUCAGGCUGGGCCAGAGGUUACAUUUAGGCAUGACCAUGGCAGACCCUGACACUGGGGUUCCAGUGCCUACUUUGGCUAUGACCAUUCACCCACAAACUGGAUCAGUAUACCCACUGGGAAGGCUGCAUGUCUGCCCACUCACUCGCAUGCCACAACCCAUUCAGAUAGGCUAUCCCAUGCUGGACUCCAGGACUGGGAACAUUGUACUUACUGUUGGGGUGACUUUGGAUUCAGUAACAGGUGAGUCCUGCUUGGAAAAGGCAACCUUCGUGUACCACACCUUCACCCUGCUAGGUGUGGUUUGUGUGUUUGUGCAGGAGAUGUGCUGCCAGUAGGUGGAGUGAUGCUGGCUGAGUCCUUCUCUGAACCUCUGAGUGGGCGGAUGGUGAGAGUCGGGGGGGCCAGCAUGAGAGCUGGACAUGUGGUGCCGACCACAGGAGGAUACCAAAAUCUCCUGGAUACCAAGGUACUUCCUAAUUUUAAGAAAGAAUCACAUAAUCAAAGAUUUUUGUUUGCAUCCUUUCUCAUUGCAGUCUUCUC
rnacentral:lncRNA from 1 species